UGCGGACCGCCAUGAUAGCAUAGAAGAAGCCAGAACAGUGAGUUAGAACAAAUAUUCGACAGAGCAGCUUUUUGAAGAAAGUGUACAGACCAUUUGACCAAUAAGCGUGAUUACGGCAAGUGGAUAUUAAGAGAAAUUAGUCUGCGUAGGUGGCCAUCUGAAAAAAACUUUACAGUACAAGCAAACCAACCAAUCCAGGAAAUUGUGUGCUGCUGCUUGUUACAGGAAAAUAAUAUGUCAUGCAGCACUCUAACGUCUGUUGGUCCUUGACGAUAUGGAUGGUCCAGCUGGCCUUGAUUGUUCUCACUGUUCAAGGUG